GUCCGGCCGCCGGGAUUUUCGCCG
rnacentral:siRNA from 1 species